GUCCUAGAGAACAGGCACAAGCUCCACAGGGGAGAAGGAAGACCCAAAGCCCCAACUUUUCUCCCCCAUCUCACCACCGGGGAGGAUAUUCGACAGCCCGGACAGUCGCAGAUCGGAGGGUGCACCUGCAGAAUCCCCUUGGACAUAAGCGUCUUCGGACUUUUUCCUGUGAGGAGAGCCGAGGCAGGACCGGCCCACAGUGGUGAAGGAGGGGCAAAGAAGGCCCCAACUCUGGCUUUCGGAAGUGGAACCCAGCUGGCAAGACUAUGAACCUGAGUCUCUAGCUUCAGUCCAGACACUCAAGAUAAGCAGGUGGGAGCAGGGCCAACAUCACCACCAGGCACAGAGAGCAUAGAACCUGGAUCCCUGGUGCUUUUAGAGACGACAAAGACAUUUUACUUUAAUUUCCCUUAAAACCAGAAGGAAGAAAAUAAUAUAAUAGCCUGCCCUGUGCAUCCACCCCACAGCCCCCUGAGUCUUUUUCCUACCGCCAUGCUGUCAUCCCCAUCUCGCUCGCAGUCCCUCAGAGAGCAGGCACCAUACUCCUCCCCAUUAGCCAAUCAGCAAACCUCAUAUGUGCUCCCUUCUAGAUCCCUUUCCUUCAAAUACCUAGUCUGGCCCCUCUCACCUAUGAUAUUUCUGUGAUACUCCCAGACUCUGCCCCCACUCAUCCAGUACCUGAUGGGCACAUCUGGCCAACUUGCUCUCCAGGGGCUCCUUUGGGAACAGUCUGGGACCCUUGGCCUCCAGGCCU